GCUCCGGUGGCCUAGUGGUUAGAGCGUCAGCUUCGGAUGCGGGAGCUCGUGAGUUCUUUUCCCGGUCGAGGCA